rnacentral:rRNA from 1 species
ACACGCAUGACACACUGCAUAUCAAUAAGCGGAGGAAAAGAAACUAACUAGGAUUCCCUCAGUAACGGCGAGUGAAGCGGGAAGAGCUCAAAUUUGAAAUCUUCAAGGGUUCUACCUUGACGAAUUGUAGUUUAUAGAAGUGUUUUCUGUUAGUAGAGUGGCAAAAGUUCUUUGGAAUAGGACAUCAUAGAGGGUGAGAAUCCCGUAUUUGGUCAUUCUUCCUAGCUUUGUGAUACACUUUCAACGAGUCGGAUUGUUUGGGAAUGCAGUCCAAAAUGGGUGGUAAAUUUCAUCUAAAGCUAAAUAUUGGCGAGAGACCGAUAGCGAACAAGUACCGUGAGGGAAAGAUGAAAAGAACUUUGAAAAGAGAGUUAAACAGUACGUGAAAUUGUCAAAAGGGAAGCGUUUGACACCAGUGUUGUUUUUCCGAAAAUCAAUUACGAAUGUUUUGUUUUUAGAGAGUUAUGACUUCAUCGGCUUGCUCCUUUCUUUAUGAAACUUUCUUAAUGCACUUUUCGGUUAACAAGUCAACAUCAAUUUCUUUUGUUGUAAAAGGGUAUGAGGAAGGUGGCUUUCUUUUCGGAGAAAGUGUUUAUAGCCUUGUGCCUCUGCAAUCGGAGAGAUUGAGGUCUGCAGCGUAGAUCCUUCGGGGUUAGAUACAUUUGUGCUAAGUUAUAGCUUUUCAUAGACAACUUGUUGAUUAUGUUAAGUCUUGUAGCUUACUCGCUUAUGCUAUUUUACCUACGCUUAGGAUGUUGAAGAUGUAGCACAUCAU